rnacentral:rRNA from 1 species
AUUGAACGCUGGCGGCAGGCCUAACACAUGCAAGUCGAACGGUAGCACAGAGAGCUUGCUCUCGGGUGACGAGUGGCGGACGGGUGAGUAAUGUCUGGGAAACUGCCUGAUGGAGGGGGAUAACUACUGGAAACGGUAGCUAAUACCGCAUAACGUCGCAAGACCAAAGUGGGGGACCUUCGGGCCUCAUGCCAACAGAUGUGCCCAGAUGGGAUUAGCUGGUAGGUGGGGUAACGGCUCACCUAGGCGACGAUCCCUAGCUGGUCUGAGAGGAUGACCAGCCACACUGGAACUGAGACACGGUCCAGACUCCUACGGGAGGCAGCAGUGGGGAAUAUUGCACAAUGGGCGCAAGCCUGAUGCAGCCAUGCCGCGUGUGUGAAGAAGGCCUUCGGGUUGUAAAGCACUUUCAGCGGGGAGGAAGGCGAUGAGGUUAAUAACCUCAUCGAUUGACGUUACCCGCAGAAGAAGCACCGGCUAACUCCGUGCCAGCAGCCGCCGUAA